rnacentral:misc_RNA from 1 species
UUGUGGAGAAGGACGCCGAAGGUGGGGCUGAUGACUGGGGUGAAGUCGUAACAAGGUAGCCGUACCGGAAGGUGCGGCUGGAUCACCUCCUAACAGGGAGACAAAAAAUUGAUUGUGAUGUCUGAGUUUUUCUCUCAGGCCACAUUCCUGACACCUUAGGUCGAUCGGUACCUCACAUUAAUUUAUUUCGAUAUAUUGAUUUCAGUUUCUAAACUUGUCUAGUUCACACUCAACAUUGGUUUCUCCUGGGCCAUUAGCUCAGGUGGUUAGAGCGCACCCCUGAUAAGGGUGAGGUCCCUGGUUCAAGUCCAGGAUGGCCCAUUCGUUGUUGGGGGUAUAGCUCAGUUGGUAGAGCGCCUGCUUUGCAAGCAGGAUGUCAGCGGUUCGAGUCCGCUUACCUCCACCGAAAACUACCUUAAUUAUCCAAUUAUGGAGAGAUUUUAUUAGACGUGACUUAGAUUGUCUAUUUGAAAAGAACCUAGCUUCUUAUCAUCUCAAAUUUAUGUUGAUAUGAUGCUGGGCUCACUUGGAUCUCCAAGUGUUUCAGUAGAACCUUGACAACUGCAUAGACAGAAAGAAUAAAGCAUCUCAUGGAUGCAUAAUUCUUUAAUUAAAUCUUUUUGAUUUGAUUAGUGAAUUCAUGUUUAUUCUUGAGUAAAAGCCGAGCACAAUUAAUUUUGUGAUUGUAUUAAGGUCAAGCUACAA